GGUGAACGCUGGCGGCGUGCCUAAUACAUGCCAGUCGAGCGAACGGACGAGAAGCUUGCUUCUCUGAUGUUAGCGGCGGACGGGUGAGUAACACGUGGAUAACCUACCUAUAAGACUGGGAUAACUUCGGGAAACCGUAGCUAAUACCGGAUAAUAUUUUGAACCGCAUGGUUCAAAAGUGAAAGACGGUCUUGCUGUCACUUAUAGAUGGAUCCGCGCUGCAUUAGCUAGUUGGUAAGGUAACGGCUUACCAAGGCAACGAUGCAUAGCCGACCUGAGAGGGUGAUCGGCCACACUGGAACUGAGACACGGUCCAGACUCCUACGGGAGGCAGCAGUAGGGAAUCUUCCGCAAUGGGCGAAAGCCUGACGGAGCAACGCCGCGUGAGUGAUGAAGGUCUUCGGAUCGUAAAACUCUGUUAUUAGGGAAGAACAUAUGUGUAAGUAACUGUGCACAUCUUGACGGUACCUAAUCAGAAAGCCACGGCUAACUACGUG
rnacentral:rRNA from 1 species